rnacentral:lncRNA from 1 species
UUAAAUAUUAAUGCAUGAAUGGAUGUGUAUUUUAAAAUGAAAUACUUACAGAAGACAUUGUUAAUUAUUAACAGCUUAAUUAUUGUGUUUUGCAUAUGCUAUAUGUAUAUAUAGUAGAUGCAGUAUGACAGGACACAGAGGUUUAGUGCCAGACUUCACAUAAAAAGUAUCAACUAUGUUAGGAUCCAUGAUCAUCAUGUGUGGUGUUAGUUUACAUUAGUGUGUCCUCUCAUGAAGGUGUGUGGAUCUCUCACCUCUCUCCAAAUUGUAGUUGUGUGUUUGAUGCUGACACAGAUGAAGACUGGUGAUUGGCUGAAGUAGGGUACAAUAUAUAUUUUUGGUUUUUGGUUUGGGCAGUGCUCACCUCUACAUUAAAUAAACUGCUGCUCGUGUGUGUUUGUAGGUUCUCAGUCAUCCAGGUCAUGGUUGUCUAAGAAGCAUGGAGACACUUCAACCACCUGGAAAUACCCAGCCUGCAGAGUACAUCAUAUGAUUUAUUGAUUUAUUUUGUGUUCAUAUCACAUGGAUGGAUGUGUAAUUAAGUUAUGAUUGUUUUGUUUUUUGUCUGUUUCUAGAGGAGACGUCGUUCAGGUUGUAGGACUUGGUGGUUAUAGGGUAAAUGCCACCAGCCACCCACUCCCUGAUGAACCACCUAAUCUUCAGUGUGCAGACAUGCGUGUUGCUGACUGUGAGCCUACCAGAUACUCUCAGUGUACUGCAUAUGUGCCAUAUAACAACAGGCUAUGUCUAGAAGAACAUCAAGUAGAUGCACGUGGGGUUAGUUGACUGCUAAUAUUACUGUAUAUCAUCUGUGUUUGUUUUAGAUAUUUUGGAAAAAAAAAUAAGCAAAACUACAUUUCUCUUCUCUCUCAGGGUGAUUCUGGUGGUGGAGUGAUUUACAACAACAUGAUUUAUGGUGUAAUCAGUUCUGGUUUUGAACGUGUCUGUACUGGACCAGCUGUUACUGUGAAUGUUUGUUCUUACAUGAACUGGAUAAAUCAGAAAAUUGCCCAAAAUAAUGGAAAAUAACUGAAUGAAAAUAACAUCCAGAAUAAACAAUCAUCUCUACAUGAAACUUGUGUGCUGUGUGUUAUUUCUACUCUAGAACAUCUUCAUGUUAACUGCAAAUUGUGAACCUUUUUCUUUGGUCUAAAAUAUUGUGUUAGAUUUGCAGCUUGUGUGUGUUUGAAUGUGGUGUCAGGUGUGUAGCAGCUCAUCCUGUUGUUCAGAAACUCUCAGACUCACACUGUGAAGAUGCAGAAAGGCUUUCUGAUCAGACAUGCCACCAAUCAGCUGCAGGGCCUGAACAUGAUAAACUUUAUAAAUCUGACCUGAUUGUUGAGGGUGGAAACGUUUACAUGGAGGCUGUUGGCUCAUUGGUGUCAGAUGAACUUUUUUUUAAAUCACUGCACUGAGGGCAUUAAAAUAAACACAGUAACCAACAAAAUAAGUUUUGUUGAUAAAAUACAUUUCUUGAAACCGUCCAUUGUUUUGUCCGAACUCUAAACAUUGAAUCCAAUUUUCAAACUAAAAGCAGUGCUUUCAAAAAAAAAAUACCCCAAAACAAAAAACCUACAAAAACAAAAAAUAAACAAAAUAAAAUUAUAGUACACAGUGACAUAUGUAUUUUAUAUCUCAUAACACAGGGGUGGGCAAUUCCAGGCCUCGAGGGCCGAUGUCCCUGCAGGUUUUAGAUCUCACCUUGGGUCAACACACCUGAAUCACAUGAUUAGCUCGUUACCAGGCCUCUGGAGAACCUGAGGAGCUAAUUUAGCCAUUUAAAUCAGCUGUGUUGGUUCAAGGACACAUCUAAAACCUGCAGGGACACCGGCCCUCGAGGCCUGGAGUUGCCGACUCCUGUCAUAACACGUCAUUUCAAUCUUGUCUUCAGUCCUGCAUUUUUAUACUUCUAAGACCAAAGUGAAAACUAAACUCUUUAUAUUCACAAAGCUCAUAAACACUAUUUGUUUCAGGAUUUCAUCAUGAUUAAUUUUCCAUAUGAGGCAGUGCUUUCACAUUCCUUUUGAAGUAGUACAGAGAAAUUCC